rnacentral:rRNA from 1 species
ACGAUGACCUCCUUCGGGAGGGGAUUAGUGGCGAACGGGUGAGUAAAGCGUGGGCAAUCUGCCCUGCACUCUGGGACAAGCCCUGGAAACGGGGUCUAAUACCGGAUACUGACCCGCUUGGGCAUCCAAGCGGUUCGAAAGCUCCGGCGGUGCAGGAUGAGCCCGCGGCCUAUCAGCUUGUUGGUGAGGUAAUGGCUCACCAAGGCGACGACGGGUAGCCGGCCUGAGAGGGCGACCGGCCACACUGGGACUGAGACACGGCCCAGACUCCUACGGAAGGCAGCAGUGGGAAAUAUUGCAAAAU